rfam:Oryza sativa (indica cultivar-group) chromosome 6, whole genome shotgun sequence.
UGUAAAUAUAGCUGUGGAUUUUCGUGUCAAUGUUUGACUAUCGGUUUUAUUUGAAAAAAUCAUGAUUAGUAUUUUAAUUGUUAUUAGAUGAUAAAAUAUAAAUAGUAUUUUAUGUGACUAUUUUUUAAUCCUUUUAAAAAAAAUUUAAAUAAAACGAAGAGUCAAACAUUGAACACGGAAACUCAUAGCUAUAAUUACA